UGGCGGCGUGCCUAACACAUGCAAGUCGAGCGAUUACUUCGGUAAAGAGCGGCGGACGGGUGAGUAACGCGUGGGUAACCUGCCUCAUACACAUGGAUAACAUACCGAAAGGUAUGCUAAUACAGGAUAAUAUAAGAGAUUCACAUGGAUUUCUUAUCAAAGCUCCGGCGGUAUGAGAUGGACCCGCGUCUGAUUAGCUAGUUGGUAAGGUAAUGGCUUACCAAGGCGACGAUCAGUAGCCGACCUGAGAGGGUGAUCGGCCACAUUGGAACUGAGACACGGUCCAAACUCCUACGGGAGGCAGCAGUGGGGAAUAUUGCACAAUGGGCGAAAGCCUGAUGCCAGCAACGCCGCGUGAGCGAUGAAGGCCUUCGGGUCGUAAAACUCUGUCCUCAAGGAAGAUAAUGACGGUACUUGAGGAGGAAGCCCCGGCUAACUACGUGCCAGCCGCUGC
rnacentral:rRNA from 1 species